rnacentral:tRNA from 1 species
AUCCAGGGAUGGGAAUCGAACCCACAGUGUUCCGAUAACCGGGCAGAUGUCAUGUCCACUAGGCUACCCUGGA